rnacentral:rRNA from 1 species
GAGAAAUUUGGAUUAAUACCUCAUAGUAUCAUUUUAAGGCAUCUUUUUUAUGAUUAAAAUUUCGGUGGUUAGAGAUGAGUAUGCGUCCUAUUAGUUUGUUGGUAAGGUAAUGGCUUACCAGGACUACGAUAGGUAGGGGUCCUGAGAGGGUAAUCCCCCACACUGGUACUGAAACACGGACCAGACUCCUACGGGAGGCAGCAGUGAGGAAUAUUGCGCAAUGGAGGAAACUCUGACGCAGCCAUACCGCGUGUAGGAAGAAUGUCCUAUGGAUUGUAAACUACUUUUAUACAAGAAGAAACCCCAGUACGUGUACUGGGCUGACGGUAUUG